GGGUGUGCAGUGGGUACGGGGCAGACUAGAGUGCAGUAGGGGAGACUGGAAUUCCUGGUGUAGCGGUGGAAUGCGCAGAUAUCAGGAGGAACACCGAUGGCGAAGGCAGGUCUCUGGGCUGUUACUGACGCUGAGGAGCGAAAGCAUGGGGAGCGAACAGGAUUAGAUACCCUGGUAGUCCAUGCCGUAAACGUUGGGCACUAGGUGUGGGGGACAUUCCACGUUUUCCGCGCCGUAGCUAACGCAUUAAGUGCCCCGCCUGGGGAGUACGGCCGCAAGGCUAAAACUCAAAGGAAUUGACGGGGGCCCGCACAAGCGGCGGAGCAUGCGGAUUAAUUCGAUGCAACGCGAAGAACCUUACCAAGGCUUGACAUAUACCGGAUCGUUCCAGAGAUGGUUCUUCCCCUUUGGGGUCGGUAUACAGGUGGUGCAUGGUUGUCGUCAGCUCGUGUCGUGAGAUGUUGGGUUAAGUCCCGCAACGAGCGCAACCCUCGUUCCAUGUUGCCAGCACGUGAUGGUGGGGACUCAUGGGAGACUGCCGGGGUCAACUCGGAGGAAGGUGGGGAUGACGUCAAAUCAUCAUGCCCCUUAUGUCUUGGGCUUCACGCAUGCUACAAUGGCCGGUACAAAGGGUUGCGAUACUGUGAGGUGGAGCUAAUCCCAAAAAGCCGGUCUCAGUUCGGAUUGAGGUCUGCAACUCGACCUCAUGAAGUCGGAGUCGCUAGUAAUCGCAGAUCAGCAACGCUGCGGUGAAUACGUUCCCGGGCCUUGUACACACCGCCCGUCAAGUCACGAAAGUCGGUAACACCCGAAGCCGGUGGCCCAACC
rnacentral:rRNA from 1 species